CCGUAAGGAGACGCGGAGGGACAUUACCGAGUUUACAACUCCCAAACCCCUGUGAACAUACCACUUGUUGCCUCGGCGGAUCAGCCCGCUCCCGGUAAAACGGGACGGCCCGCCCGAGGACCCCUAAAACUCUGUUUCUAUAUGUAACUUCUGAGUAAAACCAUAAAUAAAUCAAAACUUUCAACAACGGAUCUCUUGGUUCUGGCAUCGAUGAAGAACGCAGCAAAAUGCGAUAAGUAAUGUGAAUUGCAGAAUUCAGUGAAUCAUCGAAUCUUUGAACGCACAUUGCGCCCGCCAGUAUUCUGGCGGGCAUGCCUGUUCGAGCGUCAUUUCAACCCUCAAGCACAGCUUGGUGUUGGGACUCGCGUUAAUUCGCGUUCCUCAAAUUGAUUGGCGGUCACGUCGAGCUUCCAUAGCGUAGUAGUAAAACCCUCGUUACUGGUAAUCGUCGCGGCCACGCCGUUAAACCCCAACUUCUGAAUGUUGACCUCGGAUCAGGUAGGAAUACCCGCUGAACUUAAGCAUAUCAGAAGUCCGGAGGAA
rnacentral:rRNA from 1 species